rnacentral:rRNA from 1 species
AGUCGAGAAUCAUUCACAAUGGACGAAAGUCUGAUGGUGCAACGCCGCGUGGAGGAUGAAGGCCCUAGGGUCGUAAACUCCUGUCAUAUAAGAGUAAGACAUAGUUGGUUAAUACCCAGUUAUGUUUGAUAGUAUUAUAAGAGGAAGGGACGGCUAACUUCGUGCCAGCAGCCGCGGUAAUACGAAGGUCCCAAGCGUUAUUCGGAAUCACUGGGCGUAAAGAGUAUGUAGGCGGUUUGGUAAGUCAGGUGUGAAAUCCCGAAGCUCAACUUCGGAACUGCAUCCGAUACUGCUAGACUUGAGUAAUGGAGAGGCAGGUGGAAUUCUCGGUGUAGCAGUGAAAUGCGUGGAUAUCGAGAGGAAGACCAAUGGCGAAGGCAGCCUGCUGGACAUUUACUGACGCUGAGAUACGAAGGCUAGGGUAGCGAAAGGGAUUAGAUACCCCUGUAGUCCUAGCAGUAAACGGUGCGCGCUUGGUGUAGGAGGACUCGACCCCUUCUGUGCCGGAGCUAACGCGUUAAGCGCGCCGCCUGGGGAGUACGGUCGCAAGACUAAAACUCAAAGAAAUUGACGGGGACCCGCACAAGCGGUGGAGUAUGUGGCUUAAUUCGAUGCAACGCGAAGAACCUUACCAAGGCUUGACAUGUAUUGCUAAGCACGUGAAAGCGUGUGACCCUUCGGGGACCUUACACAGGUGCUGCAUGGCCGUCGUCAGCUCGUGUCGUGAGAUGUUUGGUUAAGUCCAGCAACGAGCGCAACCCCUGUGAAUAGUUGCCAGCACGUAAUGGUGGGGACUCUAUUCAGACUGCCCGGGUCAACCGGGAGGAAGGUGGGGAUGACGUCAGGUCAGUAUGGCCCUUACGCCUUGGGCUGCACACGUACUACAAUGCCCAGUACAAUGAGAACCGAUCCCGCGAGGAGGAGGAAAUCUAAAAAACUGGGCCCAGUUCGGAUUGGAGGCUGCAACUCGCCUCCAUGAAGUUGGAAUCGCUAGUAAUGGCACAUCAGCUACGGUGCCGUGAAUACGU